GGAAAGAGGUAUCAAGAUGCAGCAAGAAGGUGCAAGAUGUAUCAAGAUGUAGCAUGAGGUAGCUGGAGGUAGGGAGAUGGAGCGGGAGGUAUCAAGAUGCAGCAAGGUAUGGAAAGAGGUAUCAAGAUGCAGCAAGGUAUGGAAAGAGGUAUCAAGAUGCAGAGAAGGUAUGGAAAGAGGUAUCAAGAUGCAGCAAGAAGGUGCAAGAUGUAUCAAGAUGUAGCAAGAGGUAGCUGGAGGUAGGGAGAUGGAGCGGGAGGUAUCAAGAUGCAGCAAGGUAUGGAAAGAGGUAUCAAGAUGCAGCAAGAAGGUGCAAGAUGUAUCAAGAUGUAGCAUGAGGUAGCUGGAGGUAGGGAGAUGUAGCGGGAGGUAUCAAGAUGCAGCAAGGUAUGGAAAGAGGUAUCAAGAUGCAGCAAGGUAUGGAAAGAGGUAUCAAGAUGCAGCAAGAUGUGGAAAGAGGUAUCAAGAUGCAGCAAGAAGGUGCAAGAUGUAUCAAGAUGUAGCAUGAGGUAGCUGGAGGUAGGGAGAUGGAGCGGGAGGUAUCAAGAUGCAGCAAGGUAUGGAAAGAGGUAUCAAGAUGCAGCAAGGUAUGGAAAGAGGUAUCAAGAUGCAGCAAGGUAUGGAAAGAGGUAUCAAGAUGCAGCAAGAAGGUGCAAGAUGUAUCAAGAUGUAGCAUGAGGUAGCUGGAGGUAGGGAGAUGGAGCGGGAGGUAUCAAGAUGCAGCAAGGUAUGGAAAGAGGUAUCAAGAUGCAGCAAGGUAUGGAAAGAGGUAUCAAGAUGCAGCAAGGUAUGGAAAGAGGUAUCAAGAUGCAGCAAGGUAUGGAAAGAGGUAUCAAGAUGCAGCAAGGUAUGGAAAGAGGUAUCAAGAUGCAGCAAGAAGGUGCAAGAUGUAUCAAGAUGUAGCAUGAGGUAGCUGGAGGUAGGGAGAUGGAGCGGGAGGUAUCAAGAUGCAGCAAGGUAUGGAAAGAGGUAUCAAGAUGCAGCAAGGUAUGGAAAGAGGUAUCAAGAUGCAGCAAGGUAUGGAAAGAGGUAUCAAGAUGCAGCAAGGUAUGGAAAGAGGUAUCAAGAUGCAGCAAGGUAUGGAAAGAGGUAUCAAGAUGCAGCAAGAAGGUGCAAGAUGUAUCAAGAUGUAGCAUGAGGUAGCUGGAGGUAGGGAGAUGGAGCGGGAGGUAUCAAGAUGCAGCAAGAUGUGGAAAGAGGUAUCAAGAUGCAGCAAGAAGGUGCAAGAUGUAUCAAGAUGUAGCAAGAUGUGGAAAGAGGUAUCAAGAUGCAGCAAGGUAUGGAAAGAGGUAUCAAGAUGCAGCAAGAAGGUGCAAGAGGUAUCAAGAUGCAUCAAGAAGGUGCAAGAUGUAUCAAGAUGUAGCAUGAGGUAGCUGGAGGUAGGGAGAUGGAGCGGGAGGUAUCAAGAUGCAGCAAGAUGUGGAAAGAGGUAUCAAGAUGCAGCAAGAAGGUGCAAGAUGUAUCAAGAUGUAGCAUGAGGUAGCUGGAGGUAGGGAGAUGGAGCGGGAGGUAUCAAGAUGCAGCAAGGUAUGGAAAGAGGUAUCAAGAUGCAGCAAGGUAUGGAAAGAGGUAUCAAGAUGCAGCAAGGUAUGGAAAGAGGUAUCAAGAUGCAGCAAGGUAUGGAAAGAGGUAUCAAGAUGCAGCAAGGUAUGGAAAGAGGUAUCAAGAUGCAGCAAGAAGGUGCAAGAUGUAUCAAGAUGUAGCAUGGGGUAGCUGGAGGUAGGGAGAUGGAGCGGGAGGUAUCAAGAUGCAGCAAGGUAUGGAAAGAGGUAUCAAGAUGCAGCAAGGUAUGGAAAGAGGUAUCAAGAUGCAGCAAGGUAUGGAAAGAGGUAUCAAGAUGCAGCAAGAAGGUGCAAG
rnacentral:lncRNA from 1 species